GAUGAACGCUGGCGGCGUGCCUAAUACAUGCAAGUCGAGCGAACGGACGAGAAGCUUGCUUUUCUGAUGUUAGCGGCGGACGGGUGAGUAACACGUGGAUAACCUACCUAUAAGACUGGGAUAACUUCGGGAAACCGGAGCUAAUACCGGAUAAUAUUUUGAACCGCAUGGUUCAAAAGUGAAAGACGGUCUUGCUGUCACUUAUAGAUGGAUCCGCGCUGCAUUAGCUAGUUGGUAAGGUAACGGCUUACCAAGGCGACGAUGCAUAGCCGACCUGAGAGGGUGAUCGGCCACACUGGACCUGAGACACCGUCCAGGCGCCUACGGGAGGCAGCAGUAGGGAAUCUUCCGCAAUGGGCGAAAGCCUGACGGAGCAACGCCGCGUGAGUGAUGGAGGUCUUCGGAUCGUAAAACUCUGUUAUUAGGGAAGAACAUAUGUGUAAGUAACUGUGCACAUCUUGACGGUACCUAAUCAGAAAGCCACGGCUAACUACGUG
rnacentral:rRNA from 1 species